ACAUAAUACGGUGUAUGCUUCUUAACCGACAUCUACGAAGGCAAGUGCAUGGUACCCUACCCUGUAUCGCUAUCGAAAGUUAAUCAUGUGGUAACUGUUAAAAAAUUGAAAACAGAACUUCGUACGGUUUGCCGCUUCGUGGAGUACUUAUUCCUUAUCGAUAGCGCUUAAUGCUUAUACACUUGAACUGGACUGGUCACUACCGUACAGUUCGGCACCGGAUAUCAUCGUGCGGUCUCGUAUUUACACGUGUCUUGGCAGUUUCCGACGUCUUCGCUUACGCUUUCUUCAACCAUAAUCUUGGCCACCCGUCUGCGCGUUACCAUUGCAGAUAAUCUAAACUCUCCUGGGUGCUAUAUUUUGAAGGAUUCCGUGAUUUGCUGCAUUCAUCACAAUGGUUGGCACUACAUUUGGCCAGAUUCUGGAUGGAAAAAGCAUCGCGAAGGAGACGCAGCAACAUGUGGCUACCACGGUUUCCGCUUUGAAAGAGCAAGGAUGCACGCCUGGAUUAGCCAUUUG